rnacentral:lncRNA from 1 species
ACGGGACACCUGCAUCUGCCAACAAGACUGGAAGCAGGUUGGCGCAUGGACAUUUUCCCAGAAAGGGACAGAGACGGCGAAGUUUGACGGUCUGGAAAGCAGAGACCAGCAGGGCUGACUGCUUGGGAGCACGAGGGACAGCUCUCCACCGACCGAAGGAGGAGAAUGCUAUUUAUUUCAGCACCAAAUAUCCGGACAGCGCCUCUCGGGAGGUCCGAGAAGAGAACCGCGAUCUGUUUCAGCACCGGGGCUCAGGACAGUUCCCAGCGGGCUCCGUUUCGUCUCCAGAACCCUGGACAGCUCCUCCAGCCUCCCAAAGUGCUAGGAUUACAGGCGUGAGUCACUGCGCCUGGCCCAAGUCCGGAAUUUUCAACAGGACAUGGGUGUUACUGUGCCCAUGUGACAUUUGGGGAACCCAAGGCCCUGAGAAAGGCAGAAAAAUAACCCACGCAGGGACUCUCAGCCCACAAGUGAAGCUCUUGGAAUGCACUCCCUCCACCUCCAACCAGAGCUCCCCACAACUGACCCUGCCUUCUUCUGCAAGCUCCAUUUCAUCAAGGGAAACGAUCCUUAUUGCCUCACCAUUUCCCACGUGAAGUCUGUAUUGACAUUCUCAUAGACCUGGGAUAUUGUGUCUGCAGCACAUAGUCCAAUUAUUUUCAUGUUAUCUACUGACAGGUCUAUUUGUCUCCCUGUUACACUGUGAGCUCCGUGAGGGCAGAAACAAUGUUAGUAUUUUCACUGCUGUGUCCCCAGCGCCUGGUCCGGGGCCCGGCACACAGCAGGCAUAUAAUAAGCAUGUGUUGAAUCAAUAAAGGCAUCAAAGAAUAAACCAAUACAUCAAUCAAUAAAUGAAUGAAUGGCCUCA